GCAGCCCCUCCUCCUCCCAAAUCCAGGGGGAGGGGGGCAUUUCCCAGGGAGAAUGAGAGCAAAAAGAACAGGGCUUAAAAAAAAAAACUGAAUGAAAAACUCCAGGUCUCCCGGACUCAAGUCUUCCCCCACCCUCUGCCUCCAUGUCUCAAGAGUUAGCCACUGCAGAAGGAGUCACAAAAUGCCGUUACUCAUUAACAAGCUGAGAGGGCGCAGGAAUCUAGGCUGAGCUGCCUUCUGCAAGCCGAGAGAGGGGCAGCCCCAAAGGCACCCUGUGGCAGCCCCCUGCCAGGCACAGCUCAGCCGGUCGUCCCAACCUCUGUUCUUGGUGGUGCCACCACAAAGGCGGCACAGGAAGGAAGCGCAGCAGCAGCAGCACCUCAGCAAGGUACGCCCUGAACAAGCGGCUGCAACAGCCAACUGCAGGAAAAUAUUUUGGGAGCUGAUGUUGCACAGCUGUCAGAGGUGAGGCAGCGGCCAGAAUAGAAGAAAAUGUUGUCCUCUCCAGCUGGGCCGCAAAGAACAUUCAGCUCCAUCUGACAGGCAUGACUGAGAGAAAGUGGCAGAACUCAACACUUCUCUCUGCCUUGCAGAGAGUGAAUUACAUUUUUCCUUUCAAUGGUCCUCAGCCAAUGUCUUUAUAAGCCCCUCCUCUGCAUCCAACCUCCUUCUUGCACCACGGGGCACUACAGUCCUCUGACACUUGUGCCCCCCAGCAGCUGGGACUCGGGGUGUUCUUGCUGAAAAAAGCAGGACAAACUUGGAAGCACCAAAGAACUCUUGCCCUGUUUUUGCUGUGGGAGAACUGACACAGCUACAGCUCUGCAAUCUGAAGGGGCUCAGAAUUCUUGCUCCACGUUCCACGUCAAGACGGGCCCAGUUUCUCAAGCUCCCAUCAACUACGUCGUAUUUCCAUUUGCGCACCAGUCCCUGAAGGAUUCAGUAGCGGCGCUCUGGGGCAGCUUUCACAAGCAGCAAUUAAGUUAUUUGUCGUUCCGGCACCUGCGCAAUUCGAACACCCUGCCCCACAUCAUGCAGAGGCAGCGAUUAUGAACAUUCGUGCACACUUAUAGAUGCCGCACCCACUGUUUCCCACCCAGACACCAGGCAAGGGGGAUCAGGUCUGAAAAGGCAAACACGGCAAACAGCAUUUUCACAGCUGUGCCUGUCGAUAGAACCUCUUCAGGUACUGCAUUAGUCAGGGCCAAUACCCCCAUGUAUAGGAAGGGAGGGACCCCUCCCACACAUUUAAAGGGACUGUUUUGUACAGCUCUCAACUGGGUUUUAUUUGUUCGCUUAAGGGUUACAGCACUAAGAGGUAUUUUUAGCACUGGCUUCCCAAGGAAGGGUUAUGAAUUCCCUUCCCAAGGAAGUCCCAAGGAAGACAGUUAUGAAUUACAGCUACUAUUUAUCUGUGUAGCCAAAGCCAUCACAAACCAAAAUACAUAAAACAGAAUAAAAUACGUUA